AUUGAACGCUGGCGGCAUGCUUUACACAUGCAAGUCGAACGGUAACAGGCCGCAAGGUGCUGACGAGUGGCGAACGGGUGAGUAAUGCAUCGGAACGUGCCCAGACGUGGGGGAUAACGCAGUGAAAGCUGCGCUAAUACCGCAUACGAUCUAUGGAUGAAAGCGGGGGACCGUAAGGCCUCUCGCGAUUGGAGCGGCCGAUGUCAGAUUAGGUAGUUGGUGGGGUAAAGGCUCACCAAGCCAACGAUCUGUAGCUGGUCUGAGAGGACGACCAGCCACACUGGGACUGAGACACGGCCCAGACUCCUACGGGAGGCAGCAGUGGGGAAUUUUGGACAAUGGGCGCAAGCCUGAUCCAGCAAUGCCGCGUGCAGGAAGAAGGCCUUCGGGUUGUAAACUGCUUUUGUACGGAACGAAACGGUCCUGGUUAAUACCUGGGGCUAAUGACGGUACCGUAAGAAUAAGCACCGGCUAACUACGUGCCAGCCGCCGCGGUAACAC
rnacentral:rRNA from 1 species